UACGGAGGGGGCGAGCGUUAUUCGGAAUUAUUGGGCGUAAAGGGCGCGUAGGCGGCUAGGUAAGUCAAAGGUGAAAUCCCUCGGCUCAACUGAGGAACUGCCUUUGAAACUGCCUGGCUUGAGGCCGGGAGGGGGUAGCGGAAUUCCCAGUGUAGCGGUGAAAUGCGUAGAUAUUGGGAGGAACACCAGUGGCGAAGGCGGCUACCUGGACCGGUGCUGACGCUGAUGCGCGAAAGCGUGGGGAGCAAACAGG
rnacentral:rRNA from 2 species